GAUGAACGCUGGCGGCGUGCCUAAUACAUGCAAGUCGAGCGAAUGGAUUGAGAGCUUGCUCUUAUGAAGUUAGCGGCGGACGGGUGAGUAACACGUGGGUAACCUGCCCAUAAGACUGGGAUAACUCCGGGAAACCGGGGCUAAUACCGGAUAACAUUUUGAACCGCAUGGUUCGAAAUUGAAAGGCGGCUUCGGCUGUCACUUAUGAAUGGACCCGCGUCGCAUUAGCUAGUUGGUGAGGUAACGGCUCACCAAGGCAACGAUGCGUAGCCGACCUGAGAGGGUGAUCGGCCACACUGGGACUGAGUCACGGCCCAGACUCCUACGGGAGGCAGCAGUAGGGAAUCUUCCGCAAUGGACGAAAGUCUGACGGAGCAACGCCGCGUGAGUGAUGAAGGCUUUCGGGUCGUAAAACUCUGUUGUUAGGGAAGAACAAGUGCUAGUUGAAUAAGCUGGCACCUUGACGGUACCUAACCAGAAAGCCACGGCUAACUACGUGCCAGCCGCCGCAGUAA
rnacentral:rRNA from 1 species